rnacentral:rRNA from 1 species
GCUUAACACAUGCAAGUCGAGCGAUGAAGUUUCUUCGGAAAUGGAUUAGCGGCGAACGGGUGAGGAACACGUGAAGAAUCUGCCCUCCACUUUGGGAUAACACCGGGAAACCGGUGCUAAUACCGAAUAUUGAAACAUAAGUGGCAUCACUGAGUUUUGAAAGAAUUUCGGUGGAGGAUGACUUCGCGGCCUAUCAGCUAGUUGGUGAGGUAAUGGCUCACCAAGGCAACGACGGGUAGCCGGCCUGAGAGGGCGACCGGCCACACUGGGACUGAGACACGGCCCAGACUCCUACGGGAGGCAGCAGUGGGGAAUAUUGGGCAAUGGAGGAAACUCUGACCCAGCGACGCCGCGUGCGGGAUGAAGGCCUUCGGGUUGUAAACCGCUUUCAGUAGGGAAGAAGCGAAAGUGACGGUACCUACAAAAGAAGCACCGGCUAACUAUGUGCCAGCAGCCGCGGUAAUACAUAGGGUGCAAGCGUUGUCCGGAAUUAUUGGGCGUAAAGAGCUCGUAGGUCGUUUGUUACGUCGGAUGUGAAGACCUGAGGCUCAACCUCAGGCCUGCAUUCGAUACGGGCAAACUAGAGUUUGGUAGGGGAGACUGGAAUUCCUGGUGUAGCGGUGGAAUGCGCAGAUAUCAGGAGGAACACCAAUGGCGAAGGCAGGUCUCUGGGCCAAUACUGACACUGAGGAGCGAAAGCGUGGGGAGCGAACAGGAUUAGAUACCCUGGUAGUCCACGCCGUAAACGGUGGGCGCUAGUUGUGCGAACCUUCCACGGUUUGUGCGACGCAGCUAACGCAU